rnacentral:rRNA from 1 species
GUCGAGCGGAAACGAGAAGUAGCUUGCUACUUCGGCGUCGAGCGGCGGACGGGUGAGUAAUGCAUAGGAAGUUGCCCAGUAGAGGGGGAUAACCAUUGGAAACGAUGGCUAAUACCGCAUGACCUCUUCGGAGCAAAGCAGGGGACCUUCGGGCCUUGCGCUAUUGGAUACGCCUAUGUGGGAUUAGCUAGUUGGUGAGGUAAGGGCUCACCAAGGCGACGAUCCCUAGCUGGUCUGAGAGGAUGAUCAGCCACACUGGGACUGAGACACGGCCCAGACUCCUACGGGAGGCAGCAGUGGGGAAUAUUGCACAAUGGGCGAAAGCCUGAUGCAGCCAUGCCGCGUGUAUGAAGAAGGCCUUCGGGUUGUAAAGUACUUUCAGUUGUGAGGAAGGCGGCGAAAUUAAUACUCUUAUCGUUUGACGUUAGCAACAGAAGAAGCACCGGCUAACUCCGUGCCAGCAGCCGCGGUAAUACGGAGGGUGCGAGCGUUAAUCGGAAUUACUGGGCGUAAAGCGCAUGCAGGUGGUUUGUUAAGUCAGAUGUGAAAGCCCGGGGCUCAACCUCGGAAGGUCAUUUGAAACUGGCAAACUAGAGUACUGUAGA